AUUGAACGCUGGCGGCAUGCCUUACACAUGCAAGUCGAACGGCAGCACGGGGCAACCUGGUGGCGAGUGGCGAACGGGUGAGUAAUGCAUCGGAACGUACCUUUCAGUGGGGGAUAACGUAGCGAAAGUUACGCUAAUACCGCAUAUUCUGUGAGCAGGAAAGCAGGGGAACGCAAGACCUUGCGCUGAUUGAGCGGCCGAUGUCAGAUUAGCUAGUUGGUGAGAUAAAGGCUCACCAAGGCGACGAUCUGUAGCGGGUCUGAGAGGAUGAUCCGCCACACUGGAACUGAGACACGGUCCAGACUCCUACGGGAGGCAGCAGUGGGGAAUUUUGGACAAUGGGGGCAACCCUGAUCCAGCCAUGCCGCGUGAGUGAAGAAGGCCUUCGGGUUGUAAAGCUCUUUCGGCCGGGAAGAAAUCGCACGGGCUAAUACCCUGUGUGGAUGACGGUACCGGAAUAAGAAGCACCGGCUAACUACGUGCCAGCCGCCGCGGUAAGAC
rnacentral:rRNA from 1 species